AUACGGAGGGUGCGAGCGUUAAUCGGAAUUACUGGGCGUAAAGCGUGUGUAGGCUGUUGUGCAAGUCGGGUGUGAAAGCCCUGGGCUCAACCCAGGAAGUGCACUCGAAACUGCGCGACUUGAGUCUCGGAGAGGGAGGCGGAAUUCUGGGUGUAGAGGUGAAAUUCGUAGAUAUCCAGAGGAACACCGGCGGCGAAGGCGGCCUCCUGGACGAGCACUGACGCUGAGACGCGAAAGCGUGGGGAGCAAACAGGAUUAGAAACCCCUGUAGUCC
rnacentral:rRNA from 1 species